rnacentral:rRNA from 1 species
CGCGGCCUAUCAGCUUGUUGGUGGGGUAAUGGCCUACCAAGGCGGCGACGGGUAGCCGGCCUGAGAGGGUGGACGGCCACAUUGGGACUGAGAUACGGCCCAGACUCCUACGGGAGGCAGCAGUGGGGAAUAUUGCACAAUGGGCGCAAGCCUGAUGCAGCGACGCCGCGUGGGGGAUGACGGCCUUCGGGUUGUAAACUCCUUUCGCUAGGGACGAAGCUUUUUGUGACGGUACCUAGAUAAGAAGCACCGGCUAACUACGUGCCAGCAGCCGCGGUAAUACGUAGGGUGCGAGCGUUGUCCGGAAUUACUGGGCGUAAAGGGCUCGUAGGUGGUUUGUCGCGUCGUCUGUGAAAUUCCGGGGCUUAACUCCGGGCGUGCAGGCGAUACGGGCAUAACUUGAGUACUGUAGGGGUAACUGGAAUUCCUGGUGUAGCGGUGAAAUGCGCAGAUAUCAGGAGGAACACCGAUGGCGAAGGCAGGUUACUGGGCAGUUACUGACGCUGAGGAGCGAAAGCAUGGGUAGCGAACAGGAUUAGAUACCCUGGUAGUCCAUGCCGUAAACGGUGGGCGCUAGGUGUGAGGGUCUUUUCACGACUUUCGUGCCGUAGCUAACGCAUUAAGCGCCCCGCCUGGGGAGUA